rnacentral:rRNA from 1 species
UACGGAGGGGGCUAGCGUUGUUCGGAAUUACUGGGCGUAAAGCGCGCGUAGGCGGCUUUGUAAGUUAGAGGUGAAAGCCCGGAGCUCAACUCCGGAACUGCCUUUAAGACUGCAUCGCUAGAAUGUCGGAGAGGUAAGUGGAAUUCCGAGUGUAGAGGUGAAAUUCGUAGAUAUUCGGAAGAACACCAGUGGCGAAGGCGACUUACUGGACGACUGUUGACGCUGAGGUGCGAAAGCGUGGGGAGCAAACAGG